UCCAGAGGUCUCAAGCGUUGUUCGGAUUCAUUGGGCGUAAAGGGUGCGUAGGCGGCGCUGUACGUCGGGUGUGAAAUUUCGGAGCUUAACUCCGAAACUGCAUUCGAUACUGCGGUGCUUGAGGACUGGAGAGGAGACUGGAAUUCAUGGUGUAGCAGUGAAAUGCGUAGAGAUCAUGAGGAAGACCAGUGGCGAAGGCGGGUCUCUGGACAGUUCCUGACACUGAGGCACGAAGGCCAGGGGAGAAAACAGG
rnacentral:rRNA from 1 species